CCUACGGGGUGCAGCAGUGGGGAAUAUUGGACAAUGGGCGAAAGCCUGAUCCAGCCAUGCCGCGUGUGUGAAGAAGGCCUUCGGGUUGUAAAGCACUUUCAGUGGGGAAGAAAGCCUUGGGGCUAAUACCCUCGAGGAAGGACAUCACCCACAGAAGAAGCACCGGCUAACUCCGUGCCAGCAGCCGCGGUAAUACGGAGGGUGCGGGCGUUAAUCGGAAUUACUGGGCGUAAAGCGCGCGUAGGCGGUCUGAUAAGCCGGUUGUGAAAGCCCCGGGCUCAACCUGGGAACGGCAUCCGGAACUGUCAGGCUAGAGUGCAGGAGAGGAAGGUAGAAUUCCCGGUGUAGCGGUGAAAUGCGUAGAGAUCGGGAGGAAUACCAGUGGCGAAGGCGGCCUUCUGGACUGACACUGACGCUGAGGUGCGAAAGCGUGGGUAGCAAACAGGAUUAGAUACCCGAGUAGUC
rnacentral:rRNA from 1 species